AUGACUCAUAUGGGGCAUUUCAGCCGUCAAAAGACCUCCGACUCAUGGCAAGGUAAUUGCAUCAAAUCAGAUAUGAUUCAUCUGGGGCAUCUUAGCUGUUAAAGGGCUUCCGAUCUGAAGCGUCUGCAAAUCAAAGACUCAAAACAGUGGAAUUCAAAGUUGGUAGAGGAAACAGUGGUUAUUGUGUUCAACGUACCUUUUCCAUAUAAUUACCAUUUUUCCAAACUUUUAAAAUCUGUGGAACCACGCCUUUGGCAGGCCACCAUUCCAUUUACAUUAACUUGAGCUUGUGCCCAUUUAUUUAAAAUUCUCAUUUAUUCUGUUUGCAAAUUUUUCUUCUAUUUUUGAUGUUAAUACCUAAAGCAAAAAAAUUCAA
rnacentral:lncRNA from 1 species